UUAUUGCUUUCUGCCACUAGGCUGAGAGUGACCACAUAUACAGAAAUAGAAAACUAUUAAUAGAAAAAUAUAUUGCAAACAUCUAAUCCUCAAACCCCAUUCAAGUUUUGCCAACUACCCUCCAUCCUAUCAAAUAUUCCUUAUACCAAAAAGAUCCAGUUCAAAAAUAAGUGUUGCAUUUAUUUGUUAACCUCUUUUGAUCUGGAAUAGCUCCUCACACUGUCUUUCAUGACUUUAAUGCUUUGGGAGACUACAGUAUUCUUUAUAUCUGAAAAAUAAAGGAAUUUCUACUUUCUGGCUUAAUAUAAUAAGAUGUUUAGGCUCAUCUGAAAUUUUCCUGCCGUCGCCUUGGAAUCAACCAUUUCUUCAGGGAGUCCUAGUUUCUUUUAGAGGUCAAGUCUGCAUUCUGGGAUAAAGGGUUGACACAAUCUUGAAUCAGUGCCUAGGGAGUUCACAAGUCCAGAAAGGGGAUAGAGUAUAGAGAAGAUAAAGCAGAUGUCCGUACAAAGACUUGUAUGCGAAUGAUCAUAGCAACUUUAUUUGUAAUAGCCAAAACCUGAAAGCAACCCAAAUGUAUGUUAAGAAGCAAAUGGAUACAUAAAUUGUGGCAUAUGCAUACAAUGGGAUACCCAGCAAUAAAAAGGCUAAAAAGGCAUGAACUAUUCAAGUAUGCAACAAAAGAUAAGAAAGCUGAAGAAGAGUAAAAAUAAAGAAACUUCUACAAAGCCACACAUGUAAAAUAUAUUUCUGGCAACAGAGGAGAAGAAUGAUAGGAAGAGAAUUGUACUGGAAUAGUAUAAUCCAUUGGAAUGUUGUUGUAAUGAUGGCAACAGUGGAGAAGAAUGAUAGGAAGAGAAUCAUACUGGAAUAGUAUAAUCCAUUGGAAGGUUGUUGUAAUGAAGGCAAGAAGAAAAAUGACCUUGAAGGCAAGAAGAAAAAUCAUAAUGAAGGAAAGGAGAGAUGAGUUUACCAAAUACAAUCUCAGAAUUGUUCUGUAAAUUUCAUUUCUGCUUUAGCAGCCAUAAGGAGCUCCAUUUAUUACAGUAGGAACAGAGGCAACAGUUACAUGGGUAGAUGGCAGGGAUAGAAAAGAUUUUAGUUUUGAUACAUUGAAUUUGACAUGCUUUUUGAAAAUCUUCAGAUGGUGAUGUACAAACUACUGCAGGAACAUACGAGGAAAGAUGAGAGAAUCCACAGACCCUUUGAAGGAAGCAGAUUGCUCCUGCAGGGCCUAGGAGACAGCCCAAACACUGGGUCCUUAGGGAGAGGUGCCAGAGGAGCUGGAAAAAGGCCACAGGGAGAAGGAAGGCUCCAGCUGAACUUGAUUGACCCAUCAUUUGGAUGUCCCAAAACCACAGAUGCAAUAGAAGAAUGGAACAAAUUUAUACAUUUUGUCAAUGAAAACUUUAUCUUC
rnacentral:lncRNA from 1 species